AUUGAACGCUGGCGGCAGGCCUAACACAUGCAAGUCGAGCGGAUGAAGGGAGCUUGCUCCUGGAUUCAGCGGCGGACGGGUGAGUAAUGCCUAGGAAUCUGCCUGGUAGUGGGGGAUAACGUCCGGACACGGGCGCUAAUACCGCAUACGUCCUGAGGGAGAGAGUGUGGGAUCUUCGGACCUCACGCUAUCAGAUGAGCCUAGGUCGGAUUAGCUAGUUGGUGGGGUAAAGGCCUACCAAGGCGACGAUCCGUAACUGGUCUGAGUGGAUGAUCAGUCACACUGGAACUGAGAAAAGGUCCAGACUCCUACGGGAGGCAGCAGUGGGGAAUAUUGGACAAUGGGCGAAAGCAUGCUCCAGCCAUGCCGCGUGUGUGAAGAAGGUCUUCGGAUUGUAAAGCACUUCAAGUUGGGAGGAAGGGCAGUAAGUUAAUACCUUGCUGUUUUGACGUUACCAACAGAAGAAGCACCGGCUAACUUCGUG
rnacentral:rRNA from 1 species